GACGGUACUUGAUGAAUAAGCCACGGCUAAUUCCGUGCCAGCAGCCGCGGUAAUACGGGAGUGGCAAGCGUUAUCCGGAAUUAUUGGGCGUAAAGCGUCCGCAGGCGGUUUUACAAGUCUGUUGUUAAAACGUGGAGCUCAACUCCAUUUCGGCGAUGGAAACUGUAAGACUAGAGUGUGGUAGGGGCAGAGGGAAUUCCCGGUGUAGCGGUGAAAUGCGUAGAUAUCGGGAAGAACACCAGUGGCGAAGGCGCUCUGCUGGGCCAUAACUGACGCUCAUGGACAAAAGCCAGGGGAGCGAAAGGGAUUAGAUACCCCUGUAGUCCUGGCCGUAAACGAUGAACACUAGGUGUCGGGGGAAUCGACCCCCUCGGUGUCGUAGCCAACGCGUUAAGUGUUCCGCCUGGGGAGUACGCACGCAAGUGUGAAACUCAAAGGAAUUGACGGGGGCCCGCACAAGCGGUGGAGUAUGUGGUUUAAUUCGAUGCAACGCGAAGAACCUUACCAGGGUUUGACAUCCUGCGAAUUCCUUGGAAACUUGGAAGUGCCUUCGGGAGCGCAGUGACAGGUGGUGCAUGGCUGUCGUCAGCUCGUGUCGUGAGAUGUUGGGUUAAGUCCCGCAACGAGCGCAACCCACGUCUUUAGUUGCCAGCAUUAAGUUGGGCACUCUAGAGAGACCGCCGGUGAUAAACCGGAGGAAGGUGUGGAUGACGUCAAGUCAUCAUGCCCCUUACAUCCUGGGCUACACACGUACUACAAUGCUACGGACAAAGGGCAGCAAACUCGCGAGAGCUAGCAAAUCCCAUAAACCGUGGCUCAGUUCAGAUCGUAGGCUGCAACUCGCCUACGUGAAGGAGGAAUCGCUAGUAAUCGCAGGUCAGCAUACUGCGGUGAAUACGUUCCCGGGCCUUGUACACACCGCCCGUCACACCAUGGAAGUUGGCCACGCCCGAAGUCGUUACUCCAACCCUUGUGGAGGAGGAUGC
rnacentral:rRNA from 1 species